UAAGAUGUAGAAUCAAAGACAUCCAUACUCAGAUUACUAUUUUGCUAUUAAUGAGAAGUUUUUUCUGACUCUAUCAUCAAAAUAAUCUGUAUUAUCUCUACCUUCAGUCUUCGGCUAACAGUAUUCAGACAGAUUUCUGCCACCUUCAACUACGGUCUUCUGUCACCAUAUAACCAUGUGUAAGCAAUCCUAUUUUUGAUCACUGCAGAUGAGUUUAUUGUCACUCAAAAAUGAAAGUCUUUUUAUGAUCCAACAGUGGUCGUUAAAAUUUGAACAGUCAUGCUAACGGUGUAGUUUGUGAAUUACAGGUUGAUGUUCAUCCUAAUAACUUAAUUCUCAUUCCCUAACUUGAAGAAAUGAUGGACAACCAAGUUUGAGAAAUGAGGUAAUAGUAAAUGGAAGAUAAAUUUAUUGGGUUCUUUAGCUGUGCAAGAGAAUCUAGUGCAGUGCAUCUUGACAUGGUCGAAAAAUCUUGACAGGAAAAAUUAAAAGAGAAGCUAUUAAAAUUGGAAAAGCAGAGUAUUGCUGUUUGAAGUAGACUGAAAUGUGCAAGGAUUUGUCAUUGAUGUAGGUAAACUAUUGAAUAUGUUCUUCACAAAAGCAAUUGUUGGAAAUUCAUUUCAAGGAUUUGUCAUUGAUGUAUGGAUCACGCAGUGAGUGGAGAAUUGGUUCUCAUAGCUGCUGCAAAUUUGGUGCAGAAUCAUAAGCACUCAGACUAACUGAAUGACUAGGCAUCAGAACAAGCUAUUCAGUAUUUUUUUUUUCUCCAAUGAAUAGAUGGAAUUAAAACGUGGGCAAUUGUGGAAAGAAAGGAACCGCCUUCUUCAUUAUUGAUUCAUAUAUCAACUAAAAUGGCAACAUUUGUAGUUGUUGGAAACCUCCAUGGCAACAGUUCUUAGGUCUUUUAAUUUUGAAUACAUGAAACAUUUUUCCCAAUAUAUGUUGUUCCUUCUAUUCCCCCCGGGAGUGUUUUAUGAUGAGAUAUUAUUGAAGUUGUACUAUUUCUAUAGUUCAGCAUGAUAGGGGGCUAUUCAGGAUCUUUUAGUCAUUCAGUUUUACUGAUAUGAUUCCAAAUCUUAAGAAUUAUUGCAUUUUGAAUAGUAAUGAUCUUCUUUUAACUAUGUUCCAUGUCUCUCCUCCCAUUUUACUUUUGUAAGUGGCUAGAAAUACCUCCAUUUUCAGUUUCAUCACUUUAUAGUAGAUGACUGCCAUUGUUUCCUUUGCUUGAUGGAAUUUUAUCUAAUAUUAGAGCUAAUUGCCUGCUUAAUCUAAAUUAAUGGUUAAUUAGUUCGGUUGUAAAGUCAGUGGUUAGAACUAUUUGCCACUUCAUGAUUGAUCAUCGAGUAGAAUUGGUGAUCCCAUUGAGGGUAUUGAGGCCUCAAGAUCACGACAAUGUAGGGCUUGAUUCAAAAAAUGAUUGUUCUAUCCCAUUAGGGCUACUUGCUAAUUCAAUUUAGCAAAUUAUUUUCAUUGACAUUUUGCUAAUUCAAAAAAUGAGGGUAUUUGCUACUUCUUAAGCAUAAAAAUUGGAACUUCCAAAUUAUUUUCACAUUAACACUCGAAAACACAUUGAACAUAAAAUGGUUAAUUUGAAUGGAGUAGACUCUUAAGAUUCUAGAGAAAAAGACUGAAGAAUACUUUUUCAUUGAAAUUGAAAUUUAGUAACAAGAAGGUAUCAGCGAUCAAUCUUGCUUUUCUAUUAGUCAAGUCAUUCACGCGCUUUGUGGACUCCACAAUGCCAAGAACUUCCAUGCAAUCUACCAAUUCUGAAUCAUUAUUGUGAAUGGUCCAAUAUAGGGGACCCAUAUAUUGAAAUUGAUGGAUGUAUGGGUAUGGCAAUGCCAAUAAAGUCCUCAAUUACCCCAUGACCCACUUGUUCAACCCAUUGUUAACAUAUGGAAAAGAGAAUUUAUUAACACAUCCACUUAAAUUCUUCACAAAUUCACUUUUUUCUUUUAAAUAGUAAAUUUUACAAAUGAAAGGGUUAAAAUACCUUCUUGGUUAAUCUCUCAGCAUCUACUAAUUCCAUUUUUUUGGUCAUGACCGUUCACUGCUGCACUGGCAUGUGCUAUCGUAGAUCAUGCCCUAAAGCUUGGAGAUGCACCUUGUAACAUUUUUUUUCCUUUUAAUUUCAGUGUAAAACAUUUGAGGAAAAUGAAGGAUAAGAGAAGGAAACUAGGAAAAGAUAGGAAAUGAGAGAAAAGAAGAAAAGGUUUAGCUUUUGAAUGGAAUUUUGAGCAAAAAUAAUUCAUUUUAAAAAACAGUCCAUAUCCUAGAUUUUUGGCCAAAAUAAUUCCCAAUUGGUUUUUUUCAACCACAUAUGCAUCUAUGUGGCCUAAUUUUUUUCCUUUUUUAAUGUGACAAAAUAAUAGUGGGUAAUUUUAGUUUUAAUUUUGUUUUAAACAAGUAAAACUGUAGACACCAACUACGGUUUUGACUUAAAGCUUCUUUUUUUUUUAAAACAAAAUUUUGUUGUUUUAGUUGAAAAUGUUUAAAUUUAUUUUUAGAUUUAUAAAAAUAUUUAUGGAAGUGUCUUCCAACCUUUUAUGCACUUGAUUUUGUGUCUCCUUUGAUAGUUCCUUUAAUAUGAUCUUCAAUUGAGGAAAGGUAUCGGAGGGAGGGAUUUCGUUUGCCACAAAAGAAAAGUUACAAACUACUUCUUUGGUGGAUGAGACUUAGGUUUAUAGUAGAGAUGCUAAUAAGGAGAAGAUUAUUGAUUGCUAAUGUUGGAUGAAGUAACUAUGAAUAAUAGAGUCUUUGUAAUUUCCAUUGUUAAUUUGUUAGCAUGGAUGUGAUUGGAAAGAACCUUUGCUUAGACCAUCUACAAUGAUGAGAGGGUGGGGAGCCAUUUUGGUGUGAGAGUUUGGGUUUGUUUGUAUGAUCAAUUUGAUGUUAUGAGAAUAACAAAAGAAAUUCUAGAAUUCAUGAUGAAGAGACCCUAUGACUUUAAAAACUUAGAAUUGUUGAAUAAUUAGGUUAUGUGAUUAAGAGUUGACAAUUUUGUUCCUAAUUUUUUUAUCAUUAGACCUUUUUAAAUUGUCUUACUCUUUAUUGAAGAUUCAAGACUUAAGGUUGUUGUACAAUUAAUUGGGAUAACAUAGGUAAUUAUAAAAAGAUCUGGAAAAGGCGAAUUGGAGUGAGUUAAAGUAUGGUGUGAAUCGUAUGUUUUAAACUAUAAAAAAUGUUUUUAAAAACAACUUUAAAGACUCCUUAGCACUUAAUCACUAAAACCCCUCGAGCGCUCAAUUGCUGCUUGGAGUGCUUAAGUGCUUGUGUAGAGAUUUUAAUCUCUACGAAUAUUUGAAUUUCCAUAUUUUGAUUGAUUUUAUGUUAAAAAAUUAAGUUUGAAUCCACUAGGUAUUUGUAUCUUAUAUAAAUUUUUUUAUAACAUUUUUAGUAAUAUAUUAUGUAAGAAAAAUAAUUUUUUAAUGAAACACAUAUUAAAUGCUAGUUUAAGAAUCAAAAGAUUCUUUAAUUCUAGAAAGUGAUUUUAAUAACUUUGUUAAUCAUACUUAUAAGUAUUAAGAAGUACUAUAAUCCCAUCAGAAUGACUCUCAAACAGGUUUUUAUAUACCAUUCCAACUAUUAAAUAUGUUUCUAUUAAUCUGGCAAAAAACCCAGAUGAAUAAUAUAUUAGAAUACAUUUUAUGAGUCUUUCCUCUUUCAAAAUCUCAAAAAUAUCUUAUUUAAUAUGAUGAGAAUAUGGGUCACUCUCUAUGUACACCCAAUGAAACAAAAAAAUAAAAAUAAAAACAAAAGAAGUAGGUCGCCUCUUUUUUAAUAUCUUCAUAUCAUACCAAAAGAGUAGGGCCAAUGUUGAAGAAAAUUUUGACUUAUAUACCAUCAAGGUUUGGAAAAAAUGGUUGGGAUAGCCGAACAACCAUCAGUAUGGAUAAGACUAAAGCAAAUUGAUUGAUUUUUUUUUUCAUGCUUGGGUUUUAAUAUUUAUAUUCUCUUUUCUACAUUAGAUCUUAUGGUAUAAUGAAUUAAUUCACUCUCGUAGUUAGAUACAAGUAUGAUAAGAGGCAUUAAAGUUAAAUUACUAAUUUUGGUUUAAACAAUCAAAAGCAUGCAUUGUAUUUUCUUUCCUUAUUUCAAUAUUAAUUGACCAUUCUUCUCAAUAUUGAACCGUGUAGAACAGUUCUUUAAAAUUGUAUAAUUUGUGGAAGUUCUUAAAGAACCCUUCUUUUUUUUUUUGUACUUUCAUUGUGAGGAAGGGUAAUAUUUUGACUGUAUAAGGGUGAACAAGUAAUUAAACCCAUCUGAUAUAAUUAAGAGCAAGUUCUGAGAGGGCAGAGGCCUUCACAUCUGUUUGGGAUUUCCUCAUUGUAUUUUACUGAGUUGUUGAUUCCUUCAUUACCAAACAUGGUUGUGGUAUGUUGCUAUACACUUGAGCCCCUACAAAAUUGAAGCAAAGCUUUGUAUAUUGCUUCAUCUCUUCUAAAGAUUAUGAAUUUGAAAAGAAGUUAAUUUUGUUAUGGGUGGCUUGAAAGGAGAGGAGAUAUUAAAAGAUGGUGAAAUGUGUUUUCAGAACCUAUUAUCAAAGAUUAUUCUUUCAACACUCCCAUCAUAGUAAAUCAUUUUUUGUGAUGCAUAAUUUGACACUAUUUAUAUUUGGACCAAAAUUUUGUUCUAAGAUGGAGGUCAAUCCAGUCAUUGUAAAUAAUUUUUUGUGAUGUAUGAUUUGAUUCACGUUUUGACACAGUUUGUAUCUGGAUCAAAAUUUUGUUCUAGAUUGAAGGUCAAUCUAGUUAUUGUAAAUCAUUUUUUGUGAUUGCAUGGUUUGUUUCAUGAUUUGGUACAUUUUGUAUCUAGAUCAAAAGCUUGUUCUAGGUUGGAGGUGGGAAAGAAAGACCACAUUUCAAAAAAGGCUCCACAUUUUAAUUAUGAUUAUUUAAUUUUAUUAAUCAUUUUUAAAAUUAAAAGAUAUGUGAAUUAUAAAUUCUAAUUCACCAUUAUUUAUAUAGAAGAAGAAAAAAAAUUAAAUCAAUAUAUUUUCUUUAUUUUCUCUUUGGCUCCAUUUUUUCUUUAUGUUUUUUUAUUUUAUAUAUGGUUUGUAAAAUCUUCAACAUUCAAACUUUAAGAUCAUGUUUGAUUGAUUGGAUAUAAUAUGAGAUAGUAUAAGAAAUGAGAUAUUAUAUUUUAUCCUAUAUUUGAUUGGUGAUGAGAUAUAAUAAAUUAUCUUUCUCCUAUCCUAUGUUCAAUCCAACAUAAGAUAUGAUAAGUGGUGAAAUAUAUUAUCAAUUUUUUCUCAUGGUAAGAUAUGAAAUAUAUCCCUAUAUCAAAAUUUUAUUUAUUUUAUCAAUUUUUUAUCUUUUUAAUAUACUCUUUAUACAAAAUAAUUUUUUUUUAUUAUAAACUAAAUUGAUGAUUAAAAAAGAAAAACUGAAAAAAAAAAACAUUUAUAAAAUAAUAUUAAUAUAUCAAAUAUAAAUUAUUUUUAUAUAUUAAAUGACAUAGUAUAAAAACAAUUUAUUUGUGAAAUUUAAAUAUUUUAAUCAUGAAUAUUGUUGAACAUUACAAAAUUUUUAUUUUUUUUAAAUAAAAAAUAUUUGAAUAUGAUAUAAUUUUUAUUUUAAAUAUUAAAAAUAAUAUAUAUUUCAUAUUAUUUUCUUACUUAUUUCAAAAAUUAAAUAUAAAUAUAAUAUAAUAUAACAUAUUAUAUAUAUAUAUAUAUAUAUAUAUAUAUAUAUAUAUAUAUAUAUAUCAUAUCAAAUGAAAUAUGAUAUCUUAGGAUAUACAUAUUAUAUCUUAUUUUAUCCUGUCAAAGGUAACCUAAGGUUUUAUUUAAAAUAUGUUUGGUUUUAAGAAAAUUUGAUGAAAAAUGUAAAAAAAAAAAACAAAAAAAAAAUGAAAGAAAAAAAAAUAAAAAUUGAAGGUAGUAAAUUAUUUUUCAUAUGCUAUUUCAAACUCAUUUUACUUAUUGUAACUUUUCAAUAAAAAAAAAUAAAUUAUUUGAAAAUACAUGAUUUUUUUUAAUGAAUUUUAAUUACAAAUUUUUUAUAUAUAUUUUUCAUAUUACAACUUAUGAGAAAAUAAUUUUCUUUUAAUAUUUUUAAAUAUUUCCUUAAUACUUACUAGGAACCAAACAUGACCUUAGUUUAUUGAAGUCAUAGAAAAAUAACAAAAGAAAAAGCAUAAAUAUACUAAUUCAAUUCAAUAAAUACUUUCUCUUUCUAUUCUCUAAUUGCAUUAAAAAAUUUAUAUGUUUUUAAACAAUCUCAUUAAAUGAGAAUUUUGAAGAAAUUUUUUUUUUAGAUCUAAAGUUUUCUUUUUCUUCUUAUUUCUUUUCCCUUUUUUUUUUCUUUUUUUUGAAAAGCAAAAAACUUUUUCUUUUCUUUUCAAAUCUAUGUUAGAUGCAAUACAAAUUUUCAGAACAAUUCCAAUCAAAUUGUCCAUAUUUUGGAUAUUUGAUAUUCCUUGUUCUUGGUGGAAUACUAAAAAAUUUUGAAAAGCAAAACUUGGUUGCCGUCCAGUUGUUUGUCACAAAUAUUAUAAGAAUUAGAAUCUUGGGGGUCUCGCUGAUGGUAGUCUCGUAGUUGUUUCCAAUUUCAAAAUCACUUGUUUUGUAGGCACAUUAUUUUCUUCACAAAUAUUAUAAGCAUUUUUUUGGCAUUUGCUUUGGACGUCAAGUUUUGACAAACUUCCUGAAAUACCCUCCUCUGUUUUCUCAUUCUACCAUACAGUAAGCAUGAGCUUGAGAAUGGACAAGGGUAAAACAGUAUUUAAAGCUGGAUGAAUUCUUCAUCCUUUUCCCUACUUCAUGUCUGUACACAAGCAGAGGCUUUUCCCACAAAAGCUUCAUUUCUCGUGCUGGUUGUAUUUCUCUGUGAGUCUUUGAUUCCUUCAUUUCGGAAGAAAAGAUGGUUGUGGUGGAGGCGUUUCUGUCUUCCUUGUUUAAGGUGGUGCUGGACAAGCUGGUGGCUACCCCUUUGUUAGAUUAUGCACGCCGGAUCAAAGUAGACCCAGCAGUGCUCCAGGAGUGGAGGAACACUUUGUUGCAUCUCCAAGCAAUGCUGCAUGAUGCUGAGCAGAGGCAGAUUCGGGAGGAAGCGGUGAAGAGGUGGGUGGACGAUCUCAAAGCUUUAGCUUACGACAUCGAAGAUGUCCUGGACGAGUUUGACAUGGAGGCUAAGCGAUGCAGUUGGGUACAAGGGCCCCAAACCAGCACCAGCAAGGUACGGAAGCUUAUCCCCUCUUUUCAUCCUAGCGGUGUGAUUUUCAAUAAGAAGAUUGGUCAAAUGAUCAAGAUAAUCACCCGGGAAUUAGAUGCGAUUGUAAAAAGAAAGUCUGAUCUCCAUCUGACAGAGAGUGUUGGAGGGGAAUCAUCAGUGACUGAACAAAGGUUGACUACUUCUUUGAUAGAUAAGGCUGAGUUUUAUGGCAGGGAUGGUGAUAAGGAGAAGAUCAUGGAAUUGUUGCUAUCUGAUGAAAUAGCUACUGCUGAUAAGGUUCAGGUGAUUCCGAUUGUUGGUAUGGGUGGGGUUGGAAAAACAACCAUCGCUCAAAUGAUCUAUAACGACGAGAGGGUUGGGGACAAUUUCGAUAUCAGAGUUUGGGUGUGUGUAUCUGAUCAGUUUGAUUUGGUAGGAAUAACGAAAGCAAUUUUGGAGUCGGUCUCUGGGCAUUCAUCUUAUAUUUCUAAUACCCUGCAAUCACUACAAGAUAGUUUGCAGGAAAAGUUGAAUGGAAAAAGGUUUUUCCUUGUUUUGGAUGAUAUAUGGAAUGAGGACCCCAAUAGCUGGAGUACCUUACAAGCUCCUUUUAGAAAUGGAGCACAAGGCAGUGUGGUAAUGGUAACAACUCGUCUUGAAGAUGUUGCAUCUAUCAUGCGCACCACCUCUUCCCAUCAUCUUAGUAAACUCUCUGAUGAAGAUUGUUGGUCACUAUUUGCACGCAUUGCCUUCGAAAACAUAACUCCAGAUGCCCGCCAAAACUUGGAACCUAUUGGUAGGAAAAUAAUAAAGAAAUGUGACGGUUUGCCUUUGGCUGCAAAUACAUUGGCAGGUCUGUUGCGCUGUAAACAAGAUGAGAAGACUUGGAAGGAUAUGCUGAACAGCGAAAUAUGGGAUUUACGAACAGAACAAAGUAGAAUUCUUCCGGCUCUACACUUGAGUUACCAUUACCUCCCUACAAAAGUGAAGCAGUGCUUUGCAUAUUGUUCCAUCUUUCCAAAGGAUUAUGAAUUUCAAAAGGAGGAGUUAAUUUUGUUGUGGGUGGCGCAAGGUUUAGUGGGUAGCUUGAAAGGAGGGGAGAUGAUGGAAGAUGUUGGUGAAAUAUGUUUUCAGAACCUAUUAUCAAGGUCAUUCUUUCAACAAUCCGGUCAUAAUAAGUCGAUGUUUGUGAUGCAUGAUUUGAUUCACGAUUUGGCUCAAUUUGUAUCUGGAGAAUUUUGUUUCAGAUUGGAAAUGGGACAGCAAAAAAAUGUUUCAAAGAAUGCUCAACAUUUGUCAUACGAUCGUGAAAAAUUUGAAAUCUCCAAGAAAUUUGAUCCCCUUCAUGACAUUGAUAAAUUACGGACCUUCCUACCAUUAAGUAAGCCUGGUUAUGAAUUACAUUGCUACUUAAGUGAUAAAGUCCUACACGAUGUAUUGCCGAAAUUCAGAUGUAUGCGGGUUUUAUCCUUAGCUUGCUAUAAGGUCACUUAUUUGCCCGAUUCAUUUGGAAAUUUGAAACAUUUGCGGUAUUUGAACCUUUCCAACACUGAAAUUCGGAAGUUACCUAAAUCAAUAGGUAUGCUUUUGAAUUUGCAAUCAUUGAUUUUGUCAAAAUGUCAUUGGCUUACCGAGUUACCGGCCGAGAUUGGAAAGCUCAUCAACUUGCGUCAUUUGGAUAUUUCUAAAACAAAAAUAGAAGGGAUGCCAAUGGGAAUCAAUGGAUUAAAAGAUCUUCGAAUGUUGACUACUUUUGUUGUUGGCAAGCAUGGUGGUGCAAGACUCGGGGAGUUACGAGAUCUUGCACACCUGCAAGGAGCACUCUCCAUUUUAAACUUGCAGAAUGUGGAGAAUGCUACAGAAGUUAAUUUGAUGAAAAAGGAAGACCUUGAUGACUUAGUGUUUGCAUGGGAUCCAAAUGCGAUUGUUGGUGACUUGGAGAUUCAAACCAAAGUUCUCGAAAAGCUUCAGCCUCAUAACAAGGUGAAAAGGCUCAGCAUUGAAUGCUUCUAUGGCAUAAAAUUUCCAAAAUGGUUAGAAGAUCCUUCGUUCAUGAAUUUAGUUUUCUUACAACUUAGAGAUUGUAAAAAUUGCUUGUCUUUGCCGCCACUUGGGCAGUUACAGUCUCUCAAGGAUCUCUGUAUUGUGAAGAUGGCUGAUGUGCGAAAGGUAGGUGUAGAGUUGUAUGGGAAUAGCUAUUGUAGUUCAACUUCAAUUAAGCCAUUUGGAUCCCUAGAGAUUCUGAGGUUUGAAGAGAUGUUAGAGUGGGAGGAAUGGGUUUGUCGUGAAAUUGAAUUCCCUUGUUUGAAGGAGCUUUAUAUCAAGAAAUGUCCAAAGCUGAAAAAGGAUUUACCCAAACACCUUCCUAAAUUAACAAAACUUGAGAUUAGUGAAUGCGAGCAGCUGGUGUGUUGUCUUCCAAUGGCUCCCUCCAUUCGUGAAUUGAUGUUGGUGGAAUGUGAUGAUGUGAUGGUUAGGAGUGCGGGCAGUCUCACCUCAUUGGCUUCCUUGUAUAUAAGCAAUGUCUGUAAAAUACAUGAAUUAGGACAACUGAAUUCUCUUGUAAAGUUGUUUGUGUGUCGUUGUCCCAAGCUAAAGGAAAUUCCACCCAUUCUUCACAGCCUUACCUCUCUUAAAAACUUGAACAUCCAGCAAUGUGAGAGUCUUGCAUCUUUUCCGGAGAUGGCGCUGCCACCCAUGCUUGAAUGGCUUCGAAUUGAUUCCUGUCCCAUUCUGGAGUCCCUACCAGAGGGAAUUGAUUCAUUGAAGACACUUUUAAUCUACAAGUGUAAGAAAUUGGAGUUAGCACUCCAGGAGGAUAUGCCGCACAACCACUACGCUUCCCUUACCAACUUAACUAUAUGGAGUACUGGUGAUUCUUUCACGUCCUUUCCAUUAGCCUCCUUCACAAAGCUUGAGUAUCUUCGUAUCAUGAAUUGUGGAAAUCUGGAGUCCCUUUACAUUCCAGAUGGACUUCACCACGUGGAUCUCACAUCUCUCCAGAAAUUAAGCAUCAAUAAUUGCCCUAAUCUGGUAUCUUUUCCACGAGGAGGAUUGCCCACUCCCAAUUUAAGAAUGCUUCGGAUACGUGACUGCGAGAAGCUCAAGUCACUGCCCCAAGGGAUGCACACCCUCCUUACAUCCCUUCAAUAUUUGUGGAUAGAUGAUUGUCCAGAAAUUGAUUCAUUUCCAGAAGGGGGUUUGCCCACUAAUUUAUCUUUCCUUGACAUCGAGAAUUGCAACAAACUCUUGGCUUGUCGGAUGGAGUGGGGCUUGCAAACGCUUCCCUUUCUUAGAACGUUGGGGAUUCAAGGAUAUGAGAAAGAAAGAUUUCCCGAGGAGCGAUUUUUGCCCUCCACUCUCACCGCCCUUCUAAUUAGGGGUUUUCCAAAUCUGAAAUCCCUGGACAAUAAGGGGCUUCAGCACCUCACCUCUCUUGAAACUCUGCUGAUUCGGAAAUGCGGAAACCUCAAGUCCUUCCCAAAACAAGGGCUGCCCUCCUCCCUUUCAGGUCUUUAUAUUAAAGAGUGUCCUCUGCUGAAGAAACGGUGCCAAAGGAAUAAAGGGAAAGAAUGGCCCAACAUUUCUCACAUCCCCUGCAUAGUGUUCGAUAGACAGACGACAAAUGAGGAGGUGAUCUUAUCAUGAGGCCCUUCCAUCGAAGCUCUUGCUCUCCUCUGCAUUUAUUGGCCCAGGUACUUUAUGCUUUGUGUUUUAUUUUCAUUUACCAAUUCCCCGUGAGUCAGCAAGUUUAUAACUACUCUAGCAUCCAGACUGUGCUACCUAAUGGUGCUAAUAUUUUAAGACUUUAUUUUUUUCCUUUUAUAUAAUUCUUUUAUUUUUGAGACAUCAAGUGGGGUCCAGUAGAGAGUCUAGAUAUAAUUUGUGGGGGUAUCACUCAAAUAAAGAAUAAAGGCAAAGCACCACUUAGAUGUAGUUUGGAUAUAAUUUUAUAUUCUCUAUUUUUAUAAUUUUGCUUUUCUUUUUUCAUUUUUUUUGUUAUCAAAAUUUUUUUUUAAAAAAAAAUUAAAAAUAGUUACCAAAUGAUUUCCAAAGUCACUUUCAAAUUAUUAAUCUUGAAAAAAAAUACAACUAACUAUAUCAUUAAUUUGUUAUAUUGUUUUUUCAUUUUUAAUCAGGAAAUAUUAUAUUUGAUGUUUAUUAGCCUCUUGCUUUUACUUGGUGUGUUUCAUUAAAAUUGUUACUUUAAAAGACAACACUCUUAUGCAUAGAAGUUGUUUGUUCAAAAAACAAUUUUAAGAGAACUUCUUUUUCUGUUAAGUUUAGAUAAUUUUUACUAAAGAUAAACAACUUCAAAAGGCAACUUUAAUAUAAAUUCAUUUUUUAAUUUCAAUGUGCGUCUAAUAUGAAAUUGUGGAAAUUAUUUUUUUAAGUGACAACUUCCAACAUGACCAAAACUGUUGUAAAUUCCUUAAUAUUUUUAAUAUGGAAAGUGUUUUUUUCAAAAGUCAUCUUUAGUAUAAAUUUGUAAUUCUUUCAAUAUGGAAAGUGUUUUUUCAAACGACACUUUUAUUAUAAAUUCAGUUAUUUUUAAUAUGUGCCUAAUAUAAAAAUUGUGAAAUGUGUUUUUUUAAGGGAUAACUUCCAGCAUUGUCAAAAUUGUUGUGAAUUCUUAAUAGUUUUAAUAUGAAAAAUGUUUUUUCAAAAAACACCUUUAAUAUAAUUUUUUUUUAAAAUAAGUGACCGAUAUGAAAAUUGUGGAAGAUAUAUCUUCAAUAGACAACUUUCAAUAUGACAUAAAAUGCCGUAAAAUUUGAAAUAUUUUUUAAUUUGUUGUAUUUUAAAAUUUUAAUUUUAAAUUGAUUGUACUUUUAUCAAAAAUCCGUAUUAUGAGGUAAACACGUACAUUAAAAAAAGGGGCAUUAGAUAUGUGAGCCUGUUGAUUUUCGUGUGAUUUUGAUGGACAAUGCUUAAUAUCUUUUAAAAGAAGUUUAGGUGAUUCCACAUCAAGCUUAAGUCAUUGAAAUGGGAUAAGGCAAACCCCAUUAAGUAUGUUCUCCUUUGAGCCCAAAAAUCAAUAUACUUAUGAUUCAUAAGACGACCACAAGCCCUGAUAUACUUACUUUGAAAUCAUAUAAUUUUGUGAAAAUUGUAUCAAUAUAUAUAUAUUUACUACUUUCUUAUUGUGAAUUCUCUACAAUAAUAGUCAUUUUUUUGGAAAGUUUAGUGUCAUAUGUGAAUAUAGGUGUUAAUAAACUCAAACAACUAUUAGUUUAGUUUAGUGACUAGGUGAGAUAAUUGUCCAGAAAUUGAUUCAUUUCUAGAAGGGGGUUUGCCCACUAAUUUAUCUGAGCUUCACAUCAGGAAUGGCAACAAACUCGUGGCCAAUCGGAUGGAGUGGGGCUUGCAAACGCUUCCCUUUCUUAGAACGUUGGGGAUUGAGGGAUGUGAGAAAGAAAGAUUUCCCGAGGAGCGAUUUCUGCCCUCCACUCUCACCUCCCUUCAAAUUAGGGGUUUUCCAAAUCUGAAAUUCCUGGACAAUAAGGGGCUUCAGCACCUCACCUCUCUUGAAACUCUGGAGAUUUGGAAAUGUGGAAACCUCAAGUCCUUCCCCAAACAGGGGCUGCCCCCCUCCCUUUCUCAUCUUGAUAUUGAUGAAUGUCCUCUGCUGAGGAAACGAUGCCAAAGGGAUAAAGGGAAAGAAUGGCUCAAGAUUUCUCACAUCCCCUGCAUAACAUACGAUUAGGAAGAUGAGGUGAUUUUAUCACGAAGGCCUUCGAUCCAAGCUCUUGCUCUUCUCUGCGUUUAUUAGCCCAGGUACUUUCUGCUUUGUGUUCCAUAUUUUCAUUCCCAUAUAUAACUAUGCUUUGUUAUAUUAUUUUAUUUUUCCUGUUUAAUCAAGAAACAUUAUAUUUGGCUCUGUGAAUAUCUUGUAGGUUUAGUUUUCAAUUAAGAAUUGCAUACGAAUGUAAAAGCUCCUUCCUCUUGUGAUUUCGAAUUUCUUUUCCACUACCACAACAUAUCAUUUAAAAAAAAAUUUCCUGUUGUUGCUACAUUUUUUGUUUUAUUUAUUUAUUUAUUUAAUGCUUUUUACUUGAAAUUUCAUUUUUCAUGAGCUAAUGGUAAGUGCAAAUUUUUGGGAUGGGCUCAACAAAGAGGCCUCAAGAACAGUUCUACCCAUUGAAUUUGUUUCACCAAUGCUAUUGGAGUAGAUCUUGUUGCUCAUUUAAUAAUGUAUGUAUGGAUUAAAAUUUUCUUUCUCAAAUAGCUUAAGUUUUAGGGAAAGAAAUUAGAGAGGAAAAUGUGAAAAAAAAACUAAAUUGUUUAGUAAUGCACUUUGCAAAAAAAUGAUUUUCUUUUUCAUAUUUUCCAUGAUAAAGCAAAUGUGAGAAAAUUAUUUUCCUUAUUUUUCUUUAGUACUUUUUAGCAACCAAAUAUAGCCUAAUUUUUUUUCCUAUGAAGAAAUUUUAGGAGGUAAACACACUAAAAAAAGGGCAUUAGGCAUGAGAGUUUGUUGAUUUCCAUGUGCGACUUUGACGGAAAAAACUUAAUAUCUAUUAACGGAAGUUUAAGUCAUUCCACAUGAAGCAUAAGUCAUUGAAAUGGGAUAAAGUAAAACCUUAGUAAAUAUGUUCUCCUUUGAGCCCAAAAAUCAACUAUACCUAUGAUUCAUAAGACGACCACAAGCCCAAUAUACCUACUUUGAAAUCAUAUAAUUUUGUGAAAAUUGUACCAAUAUGUAUAUCUACAGCUUUCUUAUUGUAAACUCUCUACAGUAACAACCAUUUUUUGAGUAGUUUUGUAUUAUGUGUGAAUAUAAGUGUUAAUAAACUCAAACAACUAUUAUGUGUGAAAUCAUAUAAGUCAUUCCUUGGUUAUAGUUUGUUGGGAUAUUGGUUUUCAAAUUGCUUGUGUACACAACUAACCUUUUUCUAAUUCUACAUAUGCUCACAUAUGUAAAUAUCACAAUUCAUUGCAAAACUAUUCAUGUCAUGAAGAAUUUUGGAUGCAGGAACUAUCAUCUUAUUGAUGGAGGAAGGUUGUCCACCAGAAUUGUCAGUUUACUUGAUUCACUACUUGGUUUUUGCAAGCACAUCAAAAUGUAGGGAACAAAUGGAAAAAUCUACGUGGUAAAGCCCAUGCAGACAAAUCAUUUCUUCCCAGACAUUACAAUUUAGAUUCUUCAGAUAUGUCAAAGGAUUCAACAAAUGUAUUCAUAUAUUCUAAUUAGGUACCAUUCUUCUUCUAUCGUUCUACUUUUUGAAGGUGUAAUUUAUUUUCUUUAGCAAUAAUUCACAUUAUGAGAUAAUUUCUACCUUGCAAAGAAUCGAUUUGACUCCCCAAUGUUAAUACAUGAUGUUUAACUAAGACAACAUCAAAUUUGAUUGAUGAUGAUGUUUGCUUUCAACAAUGCUUGAAAUUUGCUAGGAUAGCCUAAGGUGACUCAACAUGGAGUUUAAGAUCAUAGAAAUGGGAUAAGGCAAGGCCUUGAGAAACAUAAACAAAACAUGAUGACUGAAAUUUUUUAUGGAUUUUGCAAAAUUUUUAUGAUUACCAUUUUCUUUGUUACUUUAGACUUUGUUCUCAACAAGUAUUUGUAGGUUUUAUGGUGUGACCUUUUAACAAACUUCACAUUUUUGAAACAGCUAUGCGUCUAAAGCAUCCGACUAAUAUCAUUUGUAGAGAAAGAUUGUGCACUUUUUGAUAUCUGCAUGUAUGAUGCCACAAAGGGAGCAAAAUUUUCCUACUCGAUGAAGGACAUGUGGGCAUAUCAUCCAUAAGAGAAUGUUUUGAAAAAGUUCAGAUAGAAUGGAGUGUUUUGGAAAAUGUAUUAGCAGCUGCAAGGUACCUUGCCCUCAAUUAGGUAUAUAUUCUAUUUUCUGAAAAAUUCUAUACUUUGCCUUGUAGUAAGAAUUCACAUACAAUGAGUUUUAAUAAGAGAUAACUAAUGUUUUUACUAGGAAUGAUGACCACACCUGAAUGUGGAUUCAAAUUCUCUGAAUCUCAUAAUGUGAGGACAACAUCUAGUUUGUUGUUGUUCUUGUCAAGAGAUUGUUUUUCACUGCUCAAGAUUUCAAUCUUAGGCAUUUCUGAUCACUGCUACCAGUCUAGAAUCCUGAAGGCAAUGUCAUUGCAUUGAUUCCAUGAUCUUGCUCCAAACAAAAGUUUAGUACUCUGCUUAAGGAUUGCCAUUGCGGCUGCUCCAUUCCUUGAAAGGUAUGUUUAUGUAAACAAAAGCACUGUCCAUUUGUUUUUUUAGACUUAAUAAUUAUGUAAAAGGCUAAACUAUUGUGUUAUAUCCAACCAAAAAUGAUGAACUGUUAGAAUCAUCAUGAAAAAAGCAGAGGAUCCUUUUGGUUACGCAUUCAACACAUAUUUUUGCUUAUAUUUUUCAAAUUUCCAAUCAUUGAGUAUAAGCUAAUGAAUCAAAGAACAAGUAAAAAAGUUCUUGUUGUUGAGAUUCUAAGUGAAUAGAAAUGGUUCAUGUGCUUGAUGAACUAAAGGAAGUUCUUGCAUCUAGGUCUGGGUUAAACCAUCAAAAAUAUAGUUGCAAAGCCUACUGUAUAUUUCACAAACUAUUUAUGGAAUAAAACAUUUUCAAUUUCACAUUAUGAUACCUGAUUAGACAACUUUGAGAAAUGAUAGGUUGCUCGGUCUUUUUUAAAGUAUGGUACAGAGGUUAAUCAAAUGCAUUUUGUUCCAUUGUUGUCUGCAUUUGAUGUUCAAGGUAUCUAUGAUAGUGUUCUCUGUUAUUAUGCAUUUUGCCAUCUCUUGUCUCANNNNNNNNNNNNNNNNNNNNNNNNNNNNNNNNNNNNNNNNNNNNNNNNNNNNNNNNNNNNNNNNNNNNNNNNNNNNNNNNNNNNNNNNNNNNNNNNNNNNAUUUCAAUAACAACACUUAGAUUGCUUUACAUUCCAAAUAUUUUAAAUCAUCCUCGCUUGUGUUACAUUUAUCAGUUUCUCUUUGAAAUUGUUUUUAAACUCUUAGUAUGAAAUUAAGAUUAAUAUAAACUCCAAAAUUGAAUAGCUCUGUUUAACUUUAAUGAAGUAUUCGACUAAGUACUGCUGGAUAAAGAAGAUUUAAUUGUUACAUCAAUUUCUUCUAUAGGUGUUAGCUGUUUAAACAUGUCUCCUACUUCAUGUUAUUCUGCUUCUACGUUGGGCAUCAUUGAAGCAUUUUAAAAAGGGUACUGUACUUGUACCUGCAUAACUGCCAUAAGAGGGAUAUUUGAAGGAGACACCAUUGGAGCAUGUCAAGGUGCAUUCUACUGAUGUCAACCAUAAAUGACAGGUCCUAAACAUUGGGAAUUUCAAUGCAAUAAAAAGGUACGAAAAUUGGAUAGCUUCUAUGCCUUUCACAAAUGCACUUUUAUACUAAAUCCUGUCUAAGAGAGGAAAUUAAAUCAAUCCCUGCCCUACAAUUUAGUUUUGAGUUUUUUGUUUUUUGAUUUUUGGAAACAUGUGGAUGCAUUUACACAUGCCUGAUCUCAGGAUGGAGAUUCUGAUCAAGAUUUUCUGGUUAGACUAUAAUGUGGAAUCAUGAGGACAUGGAAUUAAAUAGAGACAAUAAGCAAUUAAUCCACUUUCCCAUUCUUCUCUCUUCAAUAGGUCUUGGACAUGCCAUUCUGUAUAGGAAGAGCUUAAUCAGGUAUGCAGACUGAUUCUCCUCUUGGUUAUUAGAUUUAGUAGCUUGAAUUCAAGUAUUCAAACCUAUUCCUGCCAUCUUCUUAUACUCUUCUGUUUCCCUAAAUCAUUUGUAAGUAAUUUUUAUAAUAUUUUAUUUAUUGAAUCUAUGUUUGGAAAAACUUCUUAAAUGCUAAAAACAAGAUUUGAAGGUCAAAUUCAACUUUUGAUGACAUUUGAUAGAAUUAUUAAACUAGACCUUACACUUUCUCAGUAUAAUUUACCUAAAAAUACAAACAUCUUUAUUUUUCCUUUAAUAAAAGUUCAAUUAAAUCUUUUACACCCUCAUAUUUAAUAAAAGUAUUAAAAUUAUAAUCAUCAAACAUAAUAUCUACUUUUGCUGAAUGCUUUGAAUUUAAUAAUAUGGGAAUGACUAUCCUACAUCAUUUGUUUGGUUAUUGAGGAUUACAGUCUAUAAAAAUUCAGUCUACAUUGUUUUAGUGAAGUACUGUAAGUUUGUAUUAUGUGGUUACCCUUAGACCUAGAUUCCCAUUCAUGCUAUGAAGUGUUUGGAAGAGGUAUUUAUGUUGCAUAAGCACGAUCAAAAUGUCUCUUUCACUUUCACUAUCAAAAUAUCAUUUUCUUUUAGGUAUGUCUUCUACUUUCUGAAAAAAUAUUUUGUUUUGUCUUAUACUGAGAAUUCACACAAUGAAUUUCAAUCGGAGAUAACCUUAUUUGUAUCCUAUUUCAAGGAAUGUCCUCCUUAUCUAUAUCCUAUUUCUAGGAAUGUCACACCUAUAUGGUGGAUUCAAAUGAUUUGAACCGCAUAACGUGAAGACAACUUGUCUUAUGCUAUUGUUGGUGUUUUGACCACUGAAGAUUGCCAUCCUAAGAGUUUUAGUCGCUGCUAGCAGUCAAGAAUCCUUUAGAUAAAUGCAUGCAUUUACAUUUAUUCCAUGAUCUUGCUCCAAAGAAAAGUUUUUUACUAAUCUACGAAAGGAUUGUAAUUAUGAGUGCUCCAUUCUUUGGAAGGUAGCACUACUUGUCAAGAGUUGUAGCUCAUGUGAUUUGGUGUUCUGUUUAUUAAUUUACACUUCGGUUGAUAUAAUAUUUGGUUGUCACUCAUUAAUUUGGUUGACAUAAUCUAGGUAGAAAUUCUACCUAGAUUUUUUGUUUUGGCAUUUCAUUUCUAUUAUUUAGUUUUGAAGAUCAUAUGAUGUUACUAGCUUUAAUUUGCAUUGACCCGCUUUUCUAUAAAAUGCUUGAGUUUUCUUUACUACUAUUAAAUACAAGCAAUUGUGAAAAACUAUAGGUUGUCUCUUUUAAGGUAGAAGAGAUUUAUUUUGAUGUCCUACAACCUAUUUUCAUUUCUUACUUCUAUAAAUGUAAACUAUAUUAUUUCUUAAUCUUUAAUAGUACAAAUGAAACAUAAAUGUUAAUAUUAGCAAAGCAUUCUCCAUGUGUUGCACUAGAUUCAGUAGUUAUGUAAAAGGCUGAAAGAUGAUGACCUAUCCAAGAGAAAAUACUGAACUAUUAGAAUUAUCAAUAUAUCUUUGCUUAUAUUAGGCUGCUCUCUAUCUUUAAAGUAUGGUUCAGAGGUUAUGGUAUGCAUUAUGUUUCACUGGUUUCCAUUUUGAUGGUCAAGAUAAUUAGGAUAGGGCUGAAACAUUGUUUCCCAUUAUUAUGCAUUUUGGUAAUCUCUUCUCUCAACAAAAUUACUUCUUUCAUUUCAACAAUACUGCUUAGAUUCUUUAUCAAUUUCACUUUUACUUUGAAUAGUUUUUUUUCCUGUUAGUUUGUCUGUUUUCCUCCAAAUUGGUUUUAGAGUGUUAGCAUGAAAUUAAAGAGUAACAUAAACUCCAAUUGAACAAAUUUGUUUACCUUCAAUGAAGCAUUCAACUAUUUACUGGUGGAUAAAAAAUAUUUAACUGUUUUAUCAGUUUCUUAUUCAUUUGGCACCAUUGUAGCAUUUGAAAAAGGUACUUGAACCAAAGUAGCAGCCAUUGCAAAGACAUUUGAUGGAGGCUUCAUUGGAGCAUGUCAGGAUGGUUAAUGAGCCUUUCUCAAGUCAACAUUAAUUGGUAGGUUCUAAACUUUGGAAUUUCAACACAAUAAAAAGGUACGCAAAUUAGAUAGUUUUGUGCCUACAGCAGAUGCACUUUCACACUAGCACCUUAGUUUUAGAGUUUUUGUCAAAUUUGUGGAUGUAUUUACAAUUGCUUGCUCCUAGGAUGUUGACCAACAAGAUUGCUUGUGGGAAGAUGACGUGGAAUCACAAAUAAGUGAAAUGAUAUGGAAGGGAUAUGCAAUUGAUACCCGUCCCUAUUCUGCUCACUUGAAUGUGACUCAAGUACAUCAUUAUGCAUGGUAAGAUGUAGAAUCAACGACAUCCAUACUCAGAUUACUAUUUUGCUAUUAAUGAGAAGUUUUUUCUGACUCUAUCAUCAAAAUAAUCUGUAUUAUCUCUACCUUCAGUCUUCGGCUAACAGUAUUCAGACAGAUUUUUGCCACCUUCAACUACGGUCUUCUGUCACCAUAUAACCAUGUGUAAGCAAUCCUCCUUUUGAUCACUGCAGAUGAGUUUAUUGUCACUCAAAAAUGAAAGUCUUUUUAUGAUCGAACAGUGGUCGUCAAAAUUUGAACAGUCAUGCUAACGGUGUAGUUUGUGAAUUAC
rnacentral:lncRNA from 1 species